AUUGAACGCUGGCGGCAUGCCUUACACAUGCAAGUCGAACGGCAGCACGGGAGCAAUCCUGGUGGCGAGUGGCGAACGGGUGAGUAAUAUAUCGGAACGUGCCCAGUCGUGGGGGAUAACGUAGCGAAAGCUACGCUAAUACCGCAUACGAUCUAUGGAUGAAAGCGGGGGAUCGCAGACCUCGCGCGAUUGGAGCGGCCCGAUAUCAGAUUAGGUAGUUAGGUGAGGUAAAGGCUCACCAAGCCGACGAUCUGUAGCUGGUCUGAGAGGACGACCAGCCACACUGGGACUGAGACACGGCCCAGACUCCUACGGGAGGCAGCAGU
rnacentral:rRNA from 1 species